AGCGAACGCUGGCGGCAGGCCUAACACAUGCAAGUCGAACGAACUCUUCGGAGUUAGUGGCGGACGGGUGAGUAACACGUGGGAACGUGCCUUUUGGUUCGGAAUAACUCAGGGAAACUUGUGCUAAUACCGAAUGUGCUCUUCGGGGGAAAGAUUUAUCGCCAUUAGAGCGGCCCGCGUCUGAUUAGCUAGUUGGUGAGGUAACGGCUCACCAAGGCGACGAUCAGUAGCUGGUCUGAGAGGAUGACCAGCCACACUGGGACUGAGACACGGCCCAGACUCCUACGGGAGGCAGCAGUGGGGAAUCUUGCGCAAUGGGCGAAAGCCUGAAGCAGCCAUGCCGCGUGAAUGAUGAAGGUCUUAGGAUUGUAAAAUUCUUUCACCGGGGACGAUAAUGACGGUACCCGGAGAAGAAGCCCCGGCUAACUUCGUG
rnacentral:rRNA from 1 species